rnacentral:rRNA from 1 species
UGGGGAAUAUUGGACAAUGGGGGGAACCCUGAUCCAGCCAUGCCGCGUGUGUGAAGAAGGCCUUAUGGUUGUAAAGCACUUUAAGCGAGGAGGAGGGUACUGGUAUUAAUACUACCAGGUACUGGACGUUACUCGCAGAAUAAGCACCGGCUAACUCUGUGCCAGCAGCCGCGGUAAUACAGAGGGUGCGAGCGUUAAUCGGAUUUACUGGGCGUAAAGCGUGCGUAGGCGGCUAAUUGAGUCGGAUGUGAAAUCCCCGAGCUUAACUUGGGAAUUGCAUUCGAUACUGGUUAGCUAGAGUGUGGGAGAGGAUGGUAGAAUUCCAGGUGUAGCGGUGAAAUGCGUAGAGAUCUGGAGGAAUACCGAUGGCGAAGGCAGCCAUCUGGCCAAACACUGACGCUGAGGUACGAAAGCAUGGGGAGCAAACAGG